rnacentral:rRNA from 1 species
CCUACGGGAGGCAGCAGUGGGGAAUAUUGGGCAAUGGGCGCAAGCCUGACCCAGCAACGCCGCGUGAAGGAAGAAGGCUUUCGGGUUGUAAACUUCUUUUAAGAGGGAAGAGCAGAAGACGGUACCUCUUCAAUAAGGCACGGCCAACUAAGUGCCAGCAGCCGCGGUAAUACGUAGGUGGCAAGGGUUAUCCGGAUUCACUGGGGGUAAAGGGAGCGUUGACGGCCAAGCAAGCCAGGGGUGAAAGCCCGGGGCCCAACCCCGGGACUGCCCUUGGAACUGCAUGGCUGGAGUGCGGGAGGGGUAAGCGGAAUUCCUGGUGUAGCGGUGAAAUGCGUAGAUAUCAGGAGGAACACCGGCGGCGAAGGCGGCCUGCUGGACCGCGACUGACGUUGAGGCUCGAAAGCGUGGGGAGCGAACAGGAUUAGAUACCCGAGUAGUC